GAUGAAGAACGCAGCGAAAUGCGAUAAUUAAUGUGAAUUGCAGAAUUUAGUGAAUCAUCGAAUCUUUGAACGCACAUUGCGCCCUUUGGUAUUCCUUAGGGCAUGCCUGUUCGAGCGUCAUUUAAACCUUCAAGCUCAGCUUGGUGUUGGGUGACUGUCCGCUUCACCGCGGACUCGCCUCAAAAUUAUUGGCGGCCGGUACAUUGGCUUCGAGCGCAGCAGAAACGCGAACUCGGGCCCGUCGUAUUGGCUCCCAGAAGCUAUCUUCACAAUUUUGACCUCGGAUCAGGUAGGGAUACCCGCUGAACUUAAGCAUAUCAAUAAGCGGAGGA
rnacentral:misc_RNA from 1 species